UACGGAGGGGGCUAGCGUUGUUCGGAAUUACUGGGCGUAAAGCGUGCGCAGGCGGUUUUGUAAGUCAGAUGUGAAAUCCCCGGGCUUAACCUGGGAACUGCGUUUGAAACUACAAGGCUAGAGUGUGGCAGAGGGGGGUGGAAUUCCGACGUGUAGCAGUGAAAUGCGUAGAGAUGUGGAGGAACACCGAUGGCGAAAGGCAGCCCCCUGGGUUAACACUGACGCUCAGGCACGAAAGCGUGGGGAGCAAACAGG
rnacentral:rRNA from 1 species